rnacentral:rRNA from 1 species
CGGGGGGAAAGCCUUGAUGCAGCGACGCCGCGUGAGGGAUGACGGCCUUCGGGUUGUAAACCUCUUUCGACAGGGACGAAGCGCAAGUGACGGUACCUGUAGAAGAAGCACCGGCCAACUACGUGCCAGCAGCCGCGGUAAUACGUAGGGUGCGAGCGUUGUCCGGAAUUACUGGGCGUAAAGAGCUUGUAGGCGGUUUGUCGCGUCCUCCGUGAAAACUUGGGGCUCAACCCCAAGCUUGCGGGCGAUACGGGCAGACUUGAGUACUGCAGGGGAGACUGGAAUUCCUGGUGUAGCGGUGAAAUGCGCAGAUAUCAGGAGGAACACCGGUGGCGAAGGCGGGUCUCUGGGCAGUAACUGACGCUGAAAAGCGAAAGCGUGGGUAGCGAACAGGAUUAGAUACCCCAGUAGUCCAC